rnacentral:miRNA from 14 species
GGGAAGUUCAGCUGGGAGGCGGCAGUGGAGCCCAGCUAUAAGCCAUGCUCUCCUGGGCUGCCAUGGGUCCCUGCUGUAAGCUGUGCCCUCCUGGGUUGCAUGGAGCC